GUUUUUUGAAGGUAAUAUUUCUUAAGUGAUUUUUUGAAACCAUACAGAGUGUUUUGUUGUUUAAUAGUAUUUGGGAGUUCCAUUCACACAUUGCUCUAUACCUUACUGAACGUUGAAUUGAUUUGGUUUUUACUAUAGGUAAAAUAAAACUACCUCCUACUGCAUGCCUCGUUGGAUAAUAAUGUGUAUCUGUACUAAAGGAUAGUUUUGCAUAUAAAGUAAAAGGUGUUUUGUUUGUUAUAACAUUAUAUAAAAAUACCAUUAGUGAAUACACCAAUCUAUUUUUUACUUUAAACCAUGAGAGUAUAACGGUGGUAGCCGCCCUAACUCAAAUACUAUUUUAAAGAAGGAAAAAAAAACCUUCGGGCGCCAGACAGGAUUAAACCUGUCAAAAAUUAACUUAACCCAGGAUAGCAGAAAAAUAACCACCUGUUACACAACAAAUUAUAAUAAAAAUCUCAGACUAAAGGUCAUCAGGAUAUUUAUUCUGCCAUAUGUUCAAAAUCAUAAUAACACAGAAAACCGAAAUGGAAAACAAACAAAUAAAUAAAAUAAAACAAAAUAAGCAAUGACCACACGUUCCCACUAGCGGUCUCUGGCCUUCGAAAUCCGUGCCCGUGCCAGAAACCGACCACGUCACGCUAAUCCACGUUCGCAGAUUCGUGUCCACAUUCAUUCACAAAAAUGUCCAUAAAAAUAAAGGAAAAGAGAGAACAAAGAAAACAUUGGAUGAACAUCUUAUUAGGUUAAAUCAACAGCAUCAAUAAUUUUAACGGGCAACAAAAAUUGUUAACAACACACUAAGCACACAAAAUGUGCGAAUAUGAAAGCUAUGCGAGUGGGUGCGUGCGUGUGUUGCAGUGUGUGUAAUGGCGGCGCAAAGGUACUGACCACGUUUGCAGGACUGCUCAUGACAGUUGGUCUGGAAGUGCAAUGCUUCAGUCACGCACCAGACAUCAUAACCAUGGAACAGCGGAUUGACACGCAGCCGUCUUUCCACCGUAAACCAUCUCUCAUACGGACAACCCUCAUGUGCAAACAAACGAAUGACGCCUCUCUUUCAGGUACGAUACGCUCCCUUUAAAUACAACUCCCUUCCGCCGUUAAUUGACACACUCCACCCAAAAUCACGCUAAAAUGAAAGUGAAAGUAGAAAAGAUUCUUUUGUUUGCCACACUCUCCCCCCCUAGAAGAAAACAACCUAUGGUUGUUUAGGAGAGAGAAAUCGCAGACUAAAAUCCUAGAAAAUCUUCGUCAUCAGAGGAUUCUUGAAAUAUAUCCAGGAGUUUUUUCUUUUCUUGUAUCUCCAGUUCCGCUGCCGUUGGAUAACACAUUUUUAUGUUGCAAACAUGUGCUGUAC
ensembl:lncRNA